rnacentral:rRNA from 1 species
CCCGCUGAACUUAAGCAUAUCAAUAAGCGGAGGAAAAGAAACCAACAGGGAUUGCCUUAGUAACGGCGAGUGAAGCGGCAAAAGCUCAAAUUUGAAAUCUGGCUUUCUGACCCGAAGCCCGAGUUGUAAUUUGUAGAGGAUGCUUUGGGUGUGGCUGCGGUCUAAGUCCCCUGGAACGGGGUAUCAUAGAGGGUGAGAAUCCCGUCUGGGACCGCCAGUCACGUCUAUGUAAAGCUCCUUCGACGAGUCGAGUUGUUUGGGAAUGCAGCUCAAAAUGGGUGGUAAAUUCCAUCUAAAGCUAAAUAUUGGCGAGAGACCGAUAGCGAACAAGUACCGUGAGGGAAAGAUGAAAAGCACUUUGGAAAGAGAGUUAAACAGUACGUGAAAUUGUUGAAAGGGAAACGUUUGAAGUCAGUCGCGUCGGCCGAGACUCAGCCUUGCUUCCGCUCGGUGCACUUCUCGGUUGACGGGUCAGCAUCAAUUUCGACCGCCGGAUAAAGGUUGAGGGAACGUGACAUCUUUCGAGGUGUGUUAUAGCCCUCGAUUCGCAUACGGCGAUUGGGAUUGAGGAACUCAGCGCGCCUUUAUGGUCGGGGUAGCAACCCACGUAACGCGCUCAGGAUGCUGGCAUAAUGGCUUUAAGCGACCCGUCUUGAAACACGG